UCCAGACUCCUACGGGAGGCAGCAGUGAGGAAUAUUGGUCAAUGGUCGGGAGACUGAACCAGCCAAGUCGCGUGAGGGAUUAAGGCCCUGCGGGUCGUAAACCUCUUUUGCCGGGGAGCAGUGGUCCGGACGCGUCCGGACCGGGAGAGUACCCGGAGAAAAAGCAUCGGCUAACUCCGUGCCAGCAGCCGCGGUAAUACGGAGGAUGCGAGCGUUAUCCGGAUUUAUUGGGUUUAAAGGGUGCGUAGGCGGGCAUUUAAGCCGGCGGUCAAAUGUCGGGGCUCAACCCCGGCCUGCCGUCGGAACUGGGUGCCUUGAGUGGGCGAGAAGUAUGCGGAAUGCGCAGUGUAGCGGUGAAAUGCUUAGAUAUUGCGCAGAACUCCGAUUGCGAAGGCAGCAUACCGGCGGCGAUCUGACGCUGAGGCACGAAAGCGUGGGUAUCGAACAGGAUUAGAUACCCGGGUAA
rnacentral:rRNA from 1 species